rnacentral:rRNA from 1 species
UUCAACGGAGAGUUUGAUCCUGGCUCAGGACGAACGCUGGCGGCGUGCUUAACACAUGCAAGUCGAGCGGUAAGGCCCU